rnacentral:siRNA from 1 species
GAACAAACCUCUGUGGACAGCGAU